ACUCAGUUGACGAGUCCCAAACAGGACGAAACUCACAUCUUGAAU
rnacentral:hammerhead_ribozyme from 1 species